rnacentral:rRNA from 1 species
UACAAGGGGUGCUAGCGUUAUUCGGAUUCAUUGGGCGUAAAGGGUACGUAGACGGCGUGCUAAGUUAGUUGCUAAAUCUCUCGGCCUAACCGAGAACAAGCAAUUAAUACUGGUAUGCUAGAGGGUGAGAGAGAGGAGUGGAAUUCUCGGAGUAGCGGUAAAAUGCGUAGAUAUCGAGAGGAACACCGAUGGCGAAGGCAGCUCCUUGGCUCAUUCCUGACGUUGAGGUACGAAAGCGUGGGUAGCAAACAGG